rnacentral:rRNA from 1 species
CCCUUAGAUGUCCGGGGCCGCACAUGCGCUACAAUGGCUGCAUCAGCGCGAGUCUCUCCUGAAAGGGCGAGGAAACCGCUCAACCGCAGUCGCGGUUGGGAUUGGGGGCUGCAAGUGUCCCCCAUGAACACGGAAUUCCUAGUAGGCGCCAGUCAUCAGCUGGCGUCGAUUGAGUCCCUGCCCUUUGUACACACCGCCCGUCGCUAUUACCGAUCGCUCUCGUUAAUGAGCCCGUCGGAUUGGACCCGGUGGGGCGUUUCGGCGCCCCGCGUCCUGGUGUUUGCCGAGAAGAUGGGCGAAUUAUCGGGGGUAGAGGAAAUAAAAGUCGUAACA